rnacentral:rRNA from 1 species
UCGAGGAUAUUUAGCAAUGGGCGAAAGCCUGACUAUGUGACGCCGCGUGAGGGAUGAAGGUCUUCGGAUUGUAAACCUCUUUCGAUGGGGAAGAAAAUUCUAUUUAACUAAUAGAACUGACGGUACCCAGAGAAGAAGCCAUGGCCAACUCUGUGCCAGCAGCCGCGGUAAUACAGAGAUGGCGAGCGUUACUCGGAUUUAUUGGGUGUAAAGGGCAGGUAGGUGGCUAUGUAAGUUGGGGGUGAAAUCCUGUGGCUCAACCACAGAACUGCCUUCAAAACUGCAUAGCUUGAGGUCAGAAGAGGAAAGCGGAAUUCCCGGUGUAAGAGUGAAAUCUGUAGAUAUCGGGAGGAACACCAGUGGCGAAGGCGGCUUUCUGGUCUGACCCUGACACUAAGCUGCGAAAGCUAGGGGAGCAAACAGG